rnacentral:misc_RNA from 1 species
UUUCCGUAGGUGAACCUGCGGAAGGAUCAUUACUGAGGUAUGCUCGGUGUCGUGUCACAGCGCGCCGGUUACCCGCCCUUAUGUCAUCUGUGCCGGGCCUAUUCCGUUUUCGGACGGGGUGGGACCGAGAACAUCACUUCGGUCGAGGUGUUGCACCUCCCGUCCGCUCUGCGGGGGGGAGGCCGUGACCGCGGCCGGCCGUAUUUUACACUCUUGUGAGAACAUGAAGUCUGAAAAUAAAAUAAAUAAAAGCAAAACUUUCAACAACGGAUCUCUUGGCUCUGGCAUCGAUGAAGAACGCAGC